rnacentral:misc_RNA from 1 species
GCCUCUCUUAAGCCGUUCUCUGCAGCUUUGAACAAUUCGUUCGUUUUGGAAGAUUUGUCUAGUUUCAUCCUCUUUGACAAAGUACUUCUAAGUAGAGAUCCAAUAUGGUUUUUCUCCUUAACCAAUCGACCUAUUGUUUCAUUCAAACUCUUCGCUUCAUGACUCUUCUCCUCCAGCAAAUCCCUUGUUUUUUCAACAAUAAUUCUAGUUAACUCAUAAAUUGAUUCCAUACCCGCUAAAGAGGCGCGUAUAUUCUCCUCCAUGUCUGUACGUUGUGGAAGAAACAAGGACUCUGACAAC